GACGUAGGGUGCAAGCGUUGUCCGGAAUUAUUGGGCGUAAAGAGCUUGUAGGCGGUUUGUCGCGUCUGCUGUGAAAUUUCGGGGCUCAACCCCGAACUUGCAGUGGGUACGGGCAGACUAGAGUGUGGUAGGGGAGACUGGAAUUCCUGGCGUAGCGGUGAAAUGCGCAGAUAUCAGGAGGAACACCGAUGGCGAAGGCAGGUCUCUGGGCCACUACUGACGCUGAGAAGCGAAAGCAUGGGGAGCGAACAGG
rnacentral:rRNA from 1 species